GAUUUUUUAAGUCAAUAUCUAAUAGUCAAAUUUUAUAUUUUAUUAAUACAUAAAAGCUAAAAUUCGGAUCACACCACGAUUUAAACUUAUAAGAAAAAUUGUUUCGAUUAUUUAAUAUAACUGUUUUACUUAGAUGACCUUCAAGCAAUUACAAUUAACCAUUCAAUUUAACUAACGCGCAUUCAAGUCAUUAAUAUUACACACCCCGGCAGCACGAGAGCCGUGCGAAGGUGAAGCGCUCACAGCGUGGCAUUGCAGAUGGCAGUAAGAGUGCGUACAGUCAACAGUUAGCGCUUAUUAAGAAAAAAAAGUGGCUUGUAAUGCGGCUGAAGAAGCGGCAGCGGGAAAGUUGAAGGUCAAGGUCGUGCAUGUUGUUGUUCCCUUCAACGCACCCAUUGUCUACAUUUCUUUUGUUUUUUAGCCAAAAAAAAAAAAUUUUAUUUCUUUUGUGUAAAUUGCUGCCCAGCAGAGUUGCAUUGGUUGACCGAAAAUAAAAGACAAUGCUUGAAUGCACACUGUUAAAAGCUGUGCUUGAUUAGAAAAA